rnacentral:tRNA from 1 species
CAGGGAGACAACAAAAUGUUUAAUAUUAUUAUUUUGUCACCUUAGGUCGAUCGGUAUCUCACGUUUUUAAUUUAUUAAGAAUUUCAUUUCCUAAGUUUUUCUAGGUCACACCCAUUAUUUUUCCUGGGCCAUUAGCUCAGGUGGUUAGAGCGCACCCCUGAUAAGGGUGAGGUCCCUGGUUCAAGUCCAGGAUGGCCCAUAUCUCUAUGUUGGGGGUAUAGCUCAGUUGGUAGAGCGCCUGCUUUGCAAGCAGGAUGUCAGCGGUUCGAGUCCGCUUACCUCCACUGAUUACCACCUCUUCCAUAACCGGUAGAAAGGAAAUGUUUUGAGUUGUGAUCAAAUCCUGAACGAAUCUAGCUUCCUAAUGAAAUCAUUAAGAUGCUGGACUCAUUGAAUUAAUUUCAUUGUUUUCAGAGAACCUUGACAACUGCAUAGAUUUUUUUUAAAGACAAUAAGCAUCUUUAAUGAUGCAGAUUUAUUAUUUGUGCAAAUGCAUUAAUAACAAUUCUAUUAAGCUGAUGCUUCAAUAUUUGAAGUUAUU